GACGAACGCUGGCGGCGUGCCUAAUACAUGCAAGUAGAACGCUGAAGGAGGAGCUUGCUUCUCUGGAUGAGUUGCGAACGGGUGAGUAACGCGUAGGUAACCUGCCUGGUAGUGGGGGAUAACUAUUGGAAACGAUAGCUAAUACCGCAUAAUAGCAGUUGUUGCAUGAUAACUGUUUGAAAGGUGCAAUUGCACCGCUACCAGAUGGACCUGCGUUGUAUUAGCUAGUUGGUGGGGUAACGGCUCACCAAGGCGACGAUACAUAGCCGACCUGAGAGGGUGAUCGGCCACACUGGGACUGAGACACGGCCCAGACUCCUACGGGAGGCAGCAGGAGGGAAUCUUCGGCAAUGGACGGAAGUCUGACCGAGCAACGCCGCGUGAGUGAAGAAGGUUUUCGGAUCGUAAAGCUCUGUUGUAAGAGAAGAACGAGUGUGAGAGUGGAAAGUUCACACUGUGACGGUAUCUUACCAGAAAGGGACGGCUAACUACGUG
rnacentral:rRNA from 1 species